GUAGGGAAUAUUGCGCAAUGGACGAAAGUCUGACGCAGCGACGCCGCGUGAGUGAUGAAGGCCUUAGGGUCGUAAAGCUCUGUUGAAUGGGAAGAAAAAAAUGACGGUACCAUUCGAGGAAGGACCGGCUAACUUCGUGCCAGCAGCCGCGGUAAUACGAGGGGUCCUAGCGUUGUUCGGAAUCAUUGUGCGUAAAGGGUGUGUAGGUGGCCAUGUAAGUCAGGUGUGAAAGCCCCGGGCUCAACCCGGGAAGUGCACUUGAUACUGCGUGGCUUGAGUACCGAAGAGGGUAGUGGAAUUCCAGGUGUAGUGGUGAAAUACGUAGAUAUCUGGAAGAACACCGGUGGCGAAGGCGGCUACCUGGUCGAGUACUGACACUGAGACACGAAAGCAUGGGGAUCAAACAGGAUUAGAAACCCGGGUAGUCC
rnacentral:rRNA from 1 species